AACGAACGCUGGCGGCGUGGAUAAGACAUGCAAGUCGAACGGAUUUUUCCGCUGUAGCAAUACAGUGGGAGGUCAGUGGCGCAAGGGUGCGUAACACGUGGGCAACCUGCCCUGAAGUUGGGGAUAGCCCGCCGAAAGGCGGAUUAAUACCGAAUGUGGCUAGCUGCCGAGUGGUGGCGACGCUAAAGCUGGGGCAACCUGGCGCUUCUGGAUGGGGCCCGCCGGCCUANCAGCUUGUUGGUGAGGUAACGGCUCACCAAGGCUAUGACGGGUAGCUGGUCUGAGAGGACGACCAGCCACACUGGAACUGAGACACGGUCCA
rnacentral:rRNA from 1 species